UGUAUUCACUACUGUAAGUCACUCUGGAUAAGAGCGUCUGCUAAAUGACUGAAA
rfam:Salmo salar isolate Sally breed double haploid chromosome ssa12, whole genome shotgun sequence.